rnacentral:tRNA from 1 species
GCUCUCGUAGUUUAAUGGAUAGAACAGUGGUUUGCGGAACCACCGAUACAGGUUCGAUUCCUGUCGGGAGCA